CCUAAUCAGAAAGCCACGGCUAACUACGUGCCAGCAGCCGCGGUAAUACGUAGGUGGCAAGCGUUAUCCGGAAUUAUUGGGCGUAAAGCGCGCGUAGGCGGUUUUUUAAGUCUGAUGUGAAAGCCCNCGGCUCAACCGUGGAGGGUCAUUGGACACUGGAAAACUUGAGUGCAGAAGAGGAGACUGGAAUUCCAUGUGUAGCGGUGAAAUGCGCAGAGAUAUGGAGGAACACCAGUGGCGAAGGCGACAUUCUGGUCUGUAACUGACGCUGAUGUGCGAAAGCGUGG
rnacentral:rRNA from 1 species